GUUGCACCAUUUAACUUUAACUAUUACAAACGUCACAUCGUCUGUCAAAGCAUCGGUUAAGCGAAAAAUUGGUUGCACCAUUCAACUAUGGUUAAAAUGACGUCAUAACUUUAACGAUAACCAUAACCACCCAAUGUUGGCCGGUUACUGCUAUUGUUAAAGUCAGGUAGCUGUCAAACGCAUUGUAUAACCUCAAAGUAACAGUAUUACGUACAAAUAUUAAUAUUAAAUAAUUCUUAUCAUGUCGCUUCUACGUGAAAUAGAGCUUGAAACAAGUUCCUCAGAAAUUGAGAUUGAGGUGGAGUUCCAGGUCUCAAAAAUGUGGCUCGUGUGUUGGCUUUAAAACUAGAACCUUUCUUACUGCCUCCAACGACGAAAAAUUUUGCAAUCACUCAAAUACAGCAAUUUAUCAAUGAAAAUAAG